rnacentral:rRNA from 1 species
UACGUAGGGUCCGAGCGUUGUCCGGAAUUAUUGGGCGUAAAGAGCUCGUAGGCGGUUUGUCGCGUCUGCUGUGAAAACCCGGAGCUCAACUCCGGGCCUGCAGUCGAUACGGGCAAACUAGAGUGUUGCAGGGGAGACUGGAAUUCCUGGUGUAGCGGUGAAAUGCGCAGAUAUCAGGAGGAACACCGGUGGCGAAGGCGGGUCUCUGGGCAACAACUGACGCUGAGGAGCGAAAGCGUGGGGAGCAAACAGG